CAUGGUGGAUGGUGCGUAUCUCGGCAUCCGGUCCGCCCCCACCGGCAGCUGCAGUGUUUUCCUUGUUGUGAAGCUCAGAUGAACAAUGGAAAGGAGAGGAAGGACCAACAACAUCAUAAAUUUCAGUAUUGGACCACAUGCUGGUUGCUUGGGCGUACUACAAAAAAAAGAUGACAGACCUGGAGCGUGAUGAGUACAAUAGAACAUAUACAACACAGCUCCAAGAAGGCUACUACCUACCAAUCUAGAUGUUGGUACUCAUGUUGACGUUCAACCACAGUUAUUGAAUCAAGAGCAUGACUGUUUUUUAGAUUUUCACUUAAAAUUUGAGUAUGGUUUACCUGAAUUUUGUCAAGUAUAAGGCAUAUUGGUUGCAACGCACCAGUAAGCCACAUGUAAUAUAUAUCUUCUGAAUUAUAAAGUCAUUUUCAUUAUCGUCAUUGUUCUA